rnacentral:rRNA from 1 species
UCGCCUACGGGGGGCAGCAGUGAGGAAUAUUGGUCAAUGGCCGGAAGGCUGAACCAGCCAAGCCGCGUGAAGGACGAAGGUGCCAAGCAUUGUAAACUUCUUUUGUCAAGGGACAAAAUCAGGCUCGAGAGCCUGACCGAGGGUACUUGAAGAAAAAGCAUCGGCUAACUCCGUGCCAGCAGCCGCGGUAAUACGGAGGAUGCGAGCGUUAUCCGGAUUUAUUGGGUUUAAAGGGUGCGUAGGCGGGAUGCCAAGUCAGCGGUCAAAUACGGGGGCUCAACCUGCGUCCGCCGUUGAAACUGGCG